rnacentral:rRNA from 1 species
CAGUAGCCGCGGGAAUACGGAGGGUGCAAGCGUUAUCCGGAUUUAUUGGGUUUAAAGGGUCCGUAGGCGGACUUAUAAGUCAGUGGUGAAAGCCUGUCGCUUAACGAUAGAACUGCCAUUGAUACUGUAAGUCUUGAGUAUAUUUGAGGUAGCUGGAAUAAGUAGUGUAGCGGUGAAAUGCAUAGAUAUUACUUAGAACACCAAUUGCGAAGGCAGGUUACCAAGAUAUAACUGACGCUGAGGGACGAAAGCGUGGGUAGCGAACAGGAUUAGAUACCCCCGUAGUCCCUGUCUCUUAUAC